GCUGGGUGUGGUGGUGCAUGCCUGUAAUCCCAGGUACUUGGGAGGCUGAGGCAGGAGAAUCGCUUGAACCCAGGAGGCCGAGGUUGCAGUCAGCCAAGAUUGCGCCACUGCACUCCAGCCUGGGCAACAGGGUGAGACUCUGUCUCAC
ensembl:misc_RNA Metazoa_SRP Metazoan signal recognition particle RNA